NNACACCAUUGCAAUUGGACACUUUGCUUACUGAAGGAAAUACAUCACGAUUUUGGCCGGUUGGUUCUGUGGAAGAUUUUGGUCACUAUUUUCUACUUAGUAUUUUGACCCUCUGAAGGUAAAAAAAAACAUACAUAUUUUUAUCUUGAUAAUUGUGAAUGCUUAGGGGAUUUGGUGCCUGUAAUCCUAGAGUAGUUGAGCAAAUAAACUUUUAGUAUUCUUGGCUCUGUAAUGUUGUCAGCACUAUGUUAUUAACUUUAUUCCUGUGGUGCCUAAUUGUUCUCUACUAAUUCAUACUCUCCCUUUUCUUCCACUUAUCUAUUUCUUUUUAGUUUCCACAUUCUUCUAUUUAUCUAUUACAGAGGCAAGCUAGCAAAUUUAGUUAAAAUUCUUUCAAAAUUACAGUAAAUAAAUGAGUAGAUGAUGCUGUAUUUCUUGGUGUAUUAUUGUUUACUCUAUCGUCACAUGUGUUAUAUGAGCUGGAUUUAAUGGUAUUGUGGUGUUGAAGUCACUUGAAGCGCAGCUUGAACCAAUUUCCAGUGCAUCUGUUAUCUGGGAAUGCUAUAGAGGUUGCGCGCUUGCAAGAGUUUGAUUCUGAGCUAUAUAUUUUUGGUCCUACCAUUACGAAGGUAUUCUCUGCUACCAUAUGGUGCAACUGUANNNNNNNNNNNNNNNNNNNNNNNNNUCAUUUGCAUUCCAUUUCUGUUCCUAAAUGGAUCUAAGAUAUCUGAUUGCAUAUUUAAACUAUUUGCAUCCACUUUGUGCCUUUUUCUGUUUUCGUAGAUUUGACAUUUAUAAUUUGUUUUCUGUUAAACCAUCUCCGACUUGGAUAAUAGAUUGAGCCUGUUAAAGACUAAUAUUUUCUUGUGUGACACAUCUUGCACAAUUCUGGACAUAGUAAACAUGCACAACUCAUCAGUCCAAUUCAAUCCAACAGAGGUAAAUCCUGUAAUUGAAAAAGUUCGUUAUUCUGCUACUAAUGAUUAAUAUACACAGGUGAUGGUUUGUUUUGCAUCCGUUAAUCAUACAGAUAAAGGUGACUUUAUGCUGAAAAGGAAUUAAUGAUAGUCAUUUUUGGUAGUUCUUUGUUAUUGUUACCGGUGAAACAGUGAAUUAAAUAUUUUACAUUGCUGUCCUUUCUAGCCAUAGGCAUGCUAUAGCAAUUUCGUCUUAUGAGUUUGGUUCAAAUGGAUACCUAACACCUCUUAUUAAGUGUAAAGAUCUUGUAACCUUUCUUAUUUUGUAUAACGUAAACGGGACUUAGCUUUUGCGUGGCGUCGUUUUGAAAAGACAUGUUCCAGCUAUUUUAAAAUGUGAUCUUUGAGUCCUCCAGCAAUAAUCAGUUGCACAAUCUAUUAUAAAGAUCUAGCAGUGUGCAACAUCAUCUCCUCUUCUAAACAUUCUGUAAUACCUGUGAUACCCUAAACUGACACCACAAAUUAUACUUAAGUGUUUAUUCUGCUAGCUUGUUACAGAAAAUAACACUGUCAAAAUAAUUACAACGAUACUGCUAAUAUGGGAGAGAGUAUAGAAUCUACAACUUAAAAAUUUGAGCACUCAGAACUGCAGAACAUAGCAUGCUUGUAAGUUUUCUUUGCAUAUAUUCUUGCAGAUAGUAAAAAAGUUGUAGUUUAUGUUUCCUUUUUUGGUUCUUGUAUUGUUUCUCUUAUCUUUGACAAGCAUGGUAUACAGUUUGGUUGCAUUUUCUGCUCUUAUGUGUGCUUCUGCUAGGUACCAAUUCUGUUAUUCUUGUUCGUUCUCUAGAUUUUGUUUGCACCUAAUUCUUAAUUCUGUGUUUUCCUUCUCCGCUCUCUUACUAGGUGUUUGAGAAAAUUCCUCUUUCUGCUUUAAUCCUUUUCCCUCUGAUCAAAGCCUCAACUUAACUUGUGUCUUUCUCGGUUUACUUUGGUUUCUGCGGGUUUGGGUUGUAAGCGCUACUGAGUUCUCACUUCUUCUUUUCCUUCUAUGGGUGCUUGAAUGUUUAGUGCUUGACCAUAUGUGCUUAUUAUGAAUCUUCUUCAGUUAGUUCUCUUUGUCGUUUAAUAGAUGUACAUCCUCGAGAUGCACACUUUAUUGCAAAGUAUAUUGUUUUGCCUUUAAUUUUUUAUCAGAUGGCUUAAAUUGUUAAUUAUGUCUCAUAAAUAAGUGAUUCAUAGAAUUUUUCCCAUAUUUACCUUUGUAUUUUGGUGUAUAUACAGUUGGAUAAAAAGUUAAUAUAGCAAGUGUUAUUUUUCAGCUAACAUGUGCCUAUGUUUGUAAUAUGUUUGCUCCUUUUUCUCUUUGCAGGUACUCCCAGUUAUACGUGUGACUACUCUGGCUUUUCAGGAUAAGCUGAUUGCAAACUUUUUUGUAAAAUUGCUUACAUAAUUGAACGAUAAAAGAGGUGUGCCUACAACACAUUCGGAACAAAAGAACUAACUUAGCCUGCACAGUAUUUCAGGAAUAAAGAGCGCACCUGUGAAGCUGGAUAACAACUACAUCACAUAUUGGAAAGCACACGCUUGAAAUUGGUUAACCACCAACAGAGUAGCGGAUAAGAGGACCAGGCUGUGUAAAGAAAAUGGCAAAUAGUCACAGACUUUCUUAAGGAAUUUGCCUCAGCUCCAAUUUGUUCUGAGAAUAACCUUCUUAUUCGGACAACGGGUCCGAUCAAAAGGCAAUGCCAUACAGGGCGGAUGUAGUGUGUUACCAACGGGUUCAAUUGAAUCCAUUACUUUCGAUUCAGAAUAAGAUUUUUAUGUAAAUAUUCUUUAAAAUUGCAAAAAUAUAUGCAAAAAUUUAUUUUCUAAAAAGUAUUUUCUGAAAAAAUAUUCUAUGUAUGAUAUACUAGAAAUCGGUGAACCUAUGUAUGAAAUUUUAGCAUAUUAUGUUGGAACUCCAACAUACGGAAAGUUCCAGUAUAAUAUACUGGAGAUUGGAGCACCUGUGUAUGAACUUCCAGCAUAUUAUGUAGGACCGGUAUAUUAUACUGGAACUCCAGUAUAUUAUGCUGAAAGUCUAGUAUAUUUAUGCUGGAAUUCCAGUACUUUAUGUUGGAGUUCCAGUAUACUUGUGCUGGAACUCCGGUAUAAUAUACUUGAGUAUUUUUUCGGCAUGAAAAGUGGCUAAAUUUCAAUUACUUUUGAAACUAUGGCUAUUUUUGAAUGACCACUUGUAAAUCUAGUUAUUUUUGAAUUUCUCCCAAUUUAUUGAACAGUUCGAAGUGCUUAUUUGAUUGCUUGAAA
rnacentral:lncRNA from 1 species